UUAAACAACAUGAGGAGCAGUCAUUUCUACUUUUCAAAUACAUAAUGUGGCAUAUAUACUAGUUGUCCCCAAAAUGGCGUGAGCCCAGUGAACGCCAUUUUGGCUCAUUGCCUUCAUCGAACGUUAAGGAUCCCCCUGUUUUUCAGCUGAAUUAUUAAAUUAACGGGGAUUCGUGUUUAAUAAAAUGAAAUAAUUCAGGCUCCAAUUUAUCUCAAAGGCCUGGUUCUUGGUCAUUCCCCAUGAGUUUUAUGAAACCAAUUUAAUUGAAAAUUAACUUGUCAAAAUGCAGUAAUAAACAGUUUCUUUCCACUUUGCUGCAACUGCGGCAUUAGCUGUAAAGUAACGUUAGCUAGGCGGUCCUUGCGCAACAAAAAAUACGCAAAGUCGUAUGAAUUGUAAAUGGCUGCAGUAUGCCAAUAUACGUUUUGAACAUAAGACACUAUUGGGGAGGGGGUGGGGUGCUUUUUCCAAAAAAAAUAAAAAUUAAGGACACCCUCUAUAAACAUUAAGGACACCGAGGUGGGACGCUGAUGAGUCACACGCCAUGUGCGUGCUGGAGGAUGAAUACCGGCUCCUCGCCUCCAUGUUGCACCCGUCGGGAGCGCGGAACCGCCAUGUUGUCAACGGAUGCAAGCGCGCACCCGAACAUACAGCAUUGGGAGUCAAUGCGCGCGUUCACGCAGGUGGAAAGAACAAGGCUACCAUGACUGGCAGAAACAACCUGGCAACUCGUUUUUGACAUCUGUCCCCAGUUACUGCUUAAAAACCCUGAUGUGGACCCUUACAAAUAAGCCAGACAGGCCAAAACGAGCCAGGAGAAGGAAAUAAGGGACAUCCGAGCAGAAACGUCACACACAGUUCAGGUAGCAGGCACUUCGACUUGGCAGCUGCUGCCUUCACUCAGCACCAAGCACAGCGAUGGCGAGGGGGGCGGGGGACAGAGUGAAAAGCCUGAGAGGUGGGUAGGGAGAUAAGAAGAGAGCACGGAGGAGAUAAGAGCAGAAAGAGCGCGAUGUGGAGCAGCAGGAAAUUUACAGUUGUUAAAGAGCUCGUCUUGACAGGCACCUUUUAAAGUGGUGGAUAACUGCCAUUCUCCAGCAAGAGCGUAAAAAUGUGAGCCUCAGCAAGCUCGCAGGGACCAGCUAGAACAGGGCCGCAGAGAGGGGGAAGUAUGACUCUUUCUCUGUGUUUGUGUGUCUGUGUGUGUGUGUGUGUGUGUGUGUGUGUGUGUGUGUGUG